UAAGGAAUAUUGGUCAAUGGGCGGAAGCCUGAACCAGCCAUGCCGCGUGCAGGAUGACUGCCCUAUGGGUUGUAAACUGCUUUUGUCCAGGAAUAAACCUUUCUACGUGUAGGAAGCUGAAUGUACUGGAAGAAUAAGGAUCGGCUAACUCCGUGCCAGCAGCCGCGGUAAUACGGAGGAUCCGAGCGUUAUCCGGAUUUAUUGGGUUUAAAGGGUGCGUAGGCGGCCUAUUAAGUCAGGGGUGAAAUACGGUGGCUCAACCAUCGCAGUGCCUUUGAUACUGAUGGGCUUGAAUCCAUUUGAAGUGGGCGGAAUAAGACAAGUAGCGGUGAAAUGCAUAGAUAUGUCUUAGAACUCCGAUUGCGAAGGCAGCUCACUAAGCUGGUAUUGACGCUGAUGCACGAAAGCGUGGGGAUCGAACAGGAUUAGAUACCCUGGUAGUCCACGCCCUAAACGAUGAUAACUCGAUGUUGGCGAUAGACAGCCAGCGUCCAAGCGAAAGCGUUAAGUUAUCCACCUGGGGAGUACGCCCGCAAGGGUGAAAC
rnacentral:rRNA from 1 species